AAAAAAAAAAAGAUAAUAAUGGUUGAUAUGCAAAAAAAAAAAAAAAAAAAAAAAAAAAUCUGCUAAUUUUGAGUGAGGGAUAUUUUUGUGGCUGGAAUUGUGCCGACACGAAGCAAUCUGACAAAGUCAGCCGCAUCCAGGAGGACAUGCGUUCGCAUCCUGCCUGUCACCAAAAGCUGGGAUUUUUCAGUAAAUGGCUUAUUUGAGUCGUGUUAUUUAUAAUUUUUUAUAUGUUUACAUAGGCUAGGUGUAGACUUGGGUAUAUUUUAGUUGGCCAAAAAUGGCAACUCCAUGGUGUAGUAGUUAUCAUGCACAGCUGUUCAUUCUCCUUUUUGGGGGUAGUCAAUAAAUGGGUAGUUAGGAAAACCUGGGGGGGGGGGGCCAAUAAAAUUGAGAUGAGCACAGAGGUCAUGCACAGUUAUAGCAAUCAUCAUCACCCAUUAAAAGUCCACUGUGGGACAGAGGAAUUUCCUACUGUUAUCGACCUUUAUCUGACAUUAGUGUACUCCAUCUGCUCCAGCAAAAGCUUUGAUUUCAUCUCGACACCUGGUCCUCUGCCUGCGCUGACUUAUACAAUCUCUGGGUUGCCACUGUUACUUUUGUUGUCUAUCUGUUAUCAGUGCUAUGUUUGAUAUGACUUGCCUACGUCCACUUCUUAUGAAAAAUUGUGAUGGAAUGUUAUCUUGACAUUCCAGUUAAGUGUGGUGUGAUGAGCUGUACUGUGGGCCCUGCCAAGCAUAGCCAUCCUUCAACAAACUGUGGUUUCAGUCAAAGCUUGUGACAUUCCUUCAGGUGUUACAGACCACCAACAAGCACCCUGGAUGGUGAGACAGAUGCCUUGUAUACACAGUGGUGGAAGAUAAUCCAGCCAUCCAUCAGUCAAACUUCAGCGGUCAUCUGUUCCAUUCUGCUGGAGGAGGAGAGAUUUCACCUGAAGAAUCAUUGAUUCCCUAGACUUCGACUGAGAAAAUGUGUUUAGUUUUGCUGGCUUACAUAGCAUGACAGAAUUUGAUUUGUGUAUAAACACUAAAGAACUUAAUUACCUAAUGUUCAGUAAGCUGCAAACUUUAAGUACAUCUAAGAUACACCCAUAAAUGUCUUUUAGCACUAGAUGCUCAAAGUUGCAUAAAACCUGGCAACAAAUGUUUUAUUUAUUUAAUAGAAUUUGCAAUAUUGAAUUGCAUAUUUAUUAAAACAAGUAAUUAUGUAACUUGAAACUGCCAUUAAAGAAAUAUUUUGCUUA